rnacentral:tRNA from 1 species
GGGCCUAUAGCUCAGUGGUAGAGCCGACGGCUCAUAACCGUCUGGUCCCAGGUUCGAACCCUGGUGGGCCCA